GGCAGUUCUCGGGUGAUGCAUCCCAGAAUUAGGCUCCUUCCUCUCUGGUUCCCAGGUGCGUCACCCGAGAACCACC
rfam:Myotis brandtii contig318141, whole genome shotgun sequence.